AGUGAACGCUGGCGGUAGGCCUAACACAUGCAAGUCGAACGGCAGCACAGUAAGAGCUUGCUCUUACGGGUGGCGAGUGGCGGACGGGUGAGGAAUACAUCGGAAUCUACUUUUUCGUGGGGGAUAACGUAGGGAAACUUACGCUAAUACCGCAUACGACCUACGGGUGAAAGCAGGGGAUCUUCGGACCUUGCGCGAUUGAAUGAGCCGAUGUCGGAUUAGCUAGUUGGCGGGGUAAAGGCCCACCAAGGCGACGAUCCGUAGCUGGUCUGGGAGGAUGAUCAGCCACACUGGAACUGAGACACGGUCCAGACUCCUACGGGAGGCAGCAGUGGGGAAUAUUGGACAAUGAGCGCAAUCCUGAUCCAGCCAUACCGCGUGGGUGAAGAAGGCCUUCGGGUUGUAAAGCCCUUUUGUUGGGAAAGAAAAGCAGCAGGUUAAUACCCCGCUGUUCUGACGGUACCCAAAGAAUAAGCACCGGCUAACUUCGUG
rnacentral:rRNA from 1 species